GUGGGGAAUAUUGGGCAAUGGGCGAAAGCCUGACCCAGCAACGCCGCGUGAAGGAAGAAGGCCCUCGGGUUGUAAACUUCUUUUAAGAGGGACGAAAGAAAUGACGGUACCUCUUGAAUAAGCCACGGCUAACUACGUGCCAGCAGCCGCGGUAAUACGUAGGUGGCGAGCGUUAUCCUGAUUUACUGGGUGUAAAGGGCGUGUAGGCGGGAGUGCAAGUCAGAUGUGAAAAUUAUGGGCUCAACCCAUAACCUGCAUUUGAAACUGUUCUUCUUGAGUGAUGGAGAGGCAGGCGGAAUUCCGUGUGUAGCGGUGAAAUGCGUAGAUAUACGGAGGAACACCAGUGGCGAAGGCGGCCUGCUGGACAUUAACUGACGCUGAGGCGCUAAAGCGUGGGGAGCAAACAGGAUUAGAAACCCUUGUAGUCC
rnacentral:rRNA from 1 species